rnacentral:lncRNA from 1 species
GCGCUGACAAUGAAAAAUGCAUAUUGAAACGUAUCUUAAACUAAAUCUAAUAACCAAAACCAGUUAUCCAUACGUUGAUAAAACGAACAAUAAUAAAUAAAAGGUACAAUAAUAAAUAAAAUGUACAAAAUAAUAAACAAAUAAACAUUUAGAGAAUAAAAGAAAAACGGACGACCUCUGAAGAGAGUUACCUGGAAUAUAAUUCCGAAAGAACUCGAAACAUUGUACACGUAGCACGUAAUCAAUGUAAGGUCGGAAAUGUGAUCCAUACUAUAAACGG